rnacentral:lncRNA from 1 species
GACUUGUCGUGUGUACUCCAUUUGUUAGAGUCUGCAUUUCAUUUGCAUUGCAUUCGCAUUGUGUUGCGCAUAUCGAGGAAUUUCCAUUCAUGUGGAGAAUUGUUGGAUAUUGGUUAAAUAAAUCGAGAAUUGAAAAUCGAUUAAAAUGACUUCGUAUCGACUUCUUCGAAAAUCAAUAUCGGAUGAAUGAGAAAUUACGAAAAAGGACGAAAAUCAGUGAAUAGACACAUUUUCAUAAAGGUGCAUUGUUUGGAAAGGGUGCAUGGUUUGGCCUCAACCAUUUCGUCCACACCCUUUCAUGGUCUAUAAAUAGGACCCUUUGGGUGUCUUAUUUCUCACAAUUUGAUAUGCAAAACAUCUCUCAUCCUCUCUUCUAUCCAAAAUCAAAAUCAUUUCAUUUAUUUUGAUUUUCCUUCUUUUCAUCCUUGGAGUACAUAAGCCUAAAUUUGGUUCGUUGUACUUGUGUUUUGGAGUUUUACAAACACAAGUAUAGCCGUUGUAUUUUGGGAGUCGAUUGUCGAAAUCCGUAGGCACCGUUGCGGGGCAAAUUCGACUUAAGGACAAAGAGUCCAACUCUUACCUCGACUUUGUCCCUACUCUCUUCUUCUUCUUGUUUGUGUUUUCUUUGCCGUUACUCUGUCCAAUUUUCGGCACGGAUUUACAAACCAUCAUUAUACUUAUUUUGGCGUCACUAUUCACAAAAUUCAUCCAACAGUACUGUUCGAAAUCGAACCCAGCAAAACAAUCUUCCUCUUUCUGCUGAUUCUGCCCCUGUGCGUGAGAAAAGAAGAUAAAUUAGGGGAAAAACAGUGAAGGAAACAUUCAAGGAAGGAGACGUCUUGUUUGUGCGGGGAUUCUGGGGAAGUGGAGUAAAAACUAAGGACCACGCUAUUCUGGGAAACGAUAUUGGUGGAGAUGUAAUCGGACUUCUUGAGUUUGGGCAGCAGAUGAGAAGCACACAAAAUCGUUCCCAGCUGGGCUUACUUGCCAAAAAUGUGUGCUUCUCCCAGUGAGCCUCUCUGCAAAUCGAACCCAAAAAAUAUGGGUUUCUAGGCCGGAGUUACUGGAGUCGACGUCGGGCUUCUAGAUGAUGACGGGCUUCGGGUUGGAAAUGGCCGGCUUCUUGGUCGUCUUCUAUUUUGGGGGAAAAACAAGUGAAAGUGGUGAACCCAACUAAAAAGCAUGGGUAGUUCAGUAGUUGCGUGAAAAAAUGGAAGAAGCCUGAGAGAAGAAAUGGAAAAACAGACGGUUGUGUUAAUAACAAUAGAAAGGAGUCAGACAAGUGUGAUUUGCUCAGUGCAUUUACUACAUAAAUGGAAGAGAGAGGUAAUGUUUAUGAGAGAUAAACACUCAAAUUGAAACGAUUGUUGCGUGAAUAACAAUAGAAAGGGGUAAGAGAAAUGUCCUUUACCCCAUUAUAUCUCAUUAAAUUUCAUUUUCUGCACUUCUUCAACUGACUUUAUUGACU